rnacentral:tRNA from 1 species
AUUUAAAUAGCUUAAUUGUAGAGCGUGAUAUUGAAGAUAUUAAAGUAACUAGUUAGUUUUUAAAUA